rnacentral:rRNA from 1 species
UACAGGAGGUGCAAGCGUUAAUCGGAGUUACUGGGCGUAAAGGGCGCGUAGGUGGUUAUGUAAGUGAGAUGUGAAAUCCCUGGGCUUAACCUAGGAACUGCAUCUUAUACUGCAUAACUGGAGUACUGUAGAGGGUAGUGGAAUUUCCGGUGUAGCGGUGAAAUGCGUAGAGAUCGGAAGGAACACCAGUGGCGAAGGCGGCUACCUGGACAGAUACUGACGCUGAGGCACGAAAAGCGUGGGGGAGCAAACAGG